UCUUAUGGAUGAGCAAAGAAAGUGGUUUCUUGAGAUGGAAUCUACUCCUGAUGUAGAAGCUGUGAA
rnacentral:pre_miRNA from 1 species